AUGUCUUUACGUAAUUUUUGUGCGGUAUGCAAAAUACUCUUUGAGGGUAAAUUAGAUGAACCAAAUCGUAAAUAUGUGGAUGGCUUUGUUAACACCAUCACUGUAGGGGAUCCAAAGAAGGGUUCCGAUGCGAGAAUAUCUAGCAUACACUUUCCUGUUUUACACUACUUUGCCAUAUUUGCUAGUAGAUGCUUAAUUGGUCAUGGAAAUAGUGGAAACUUCAAUGUUCCUGAUAUUAUUAUUCUUCUCCAUGCCUUGUUUGGUGAUAAUAGUUUUGGUAUGGGUGCCGUCAUUGCUAAACAGCUAAGCCUGAAUCGUACAAAAGGCCCCAUCUUUGGAGGUAUCUAUGCUGCACGUCUUGCUAAACAUUUUGAGAUACCUAUUAGGCACCAUGAAAAAGAGGAGAAAAUAUUGCCUCCUUACGUUUUAGAUUACAGGAGCAUGGUAGCGCAUGAGUUUAUUGUUGACAACGAAGAUAAGAUGCUUCUGUAUAACCUGAGAUUUAAUAAGAAAUACAAUGAGACUAUUAUUCUGCCUGCGCCUCUGUUGUUUGAUUUGACUGCAGAUAAUUUUCUUGUCAUGCCGGAAGCGGUGUACACUCAUCGAGGCCAAGCGUCCACUCCAGAGCCUGAACCUGAGCCGGAACCUUCACUGGACCCUUAUCGUGCAUCAUCUUACCAGUGGGAUCCGGAGGAAAUGGCCAGCUAG
rnacentral:rRNA from 1 species